rnacentral:lncRNA from 10 species
AUUGAGAUGAAUGGACAUUUGAUAUUACCAAGAAUAUGCAUAAUGACUUGGAAGUUACCAUUUGAACAAUUGACAUUCUUGAGCAUCUUAGGUUGGAUUUCCUAGGAACAGAACCUGUGACAGGAAUUCAGGUGGAGCUGUUUUAGGUAAGGAGCGCCUUCAAGAGAAGAAAGAGAAGAGAAUAGGACAGGGAGGGGAAGGAGCUAAGCAG